UGAAGAAUUCCGAAUAUCUGAAACA
rnacentral:miRNA from 1 species